CAGUAGCCGCGGGAAAACAGAGGGUGCGAGCGUUAAUCGGAUUUACUGGGCGUAAAGCGUGCGUAGGCGGCUAAUUGAGUCGGAUGUGAAAUCCCCGAGCUUAACUUGGGAAUUGCAUUCGAUACUGGUUAGCUAGAGUGUGGGAGAGGAUGGUAGAAUUCCAGGUGUAGCGGUGAAAUGCGUAGAGAUCUGGAGGAAUACCGAUGGCGAAGGCAGCCAUCUGGCCUAACACUGACGCUGAGGUACGAAAGCAUGGGGAGCAAACAGGAUUAGAUACCCGUGUAGUCCCUGUCUCUUAUAC
rnacentral:rRNA from 1 species